GGAUGUGAAGGUGAUUUUGCUGUGACAUCUGUCCAUGCACUAAUUGCCAGAGUUAACUUGGCAGGUCUCCCCUUCCUCUUUCAUUGCUCCACGUGCAUCCCUCCUGAAGCUGUAUACUCAUUCAAAGAGGAAGACCUUCCCUAAUAGAGGAGGACUGUUCUUCAGUCAAGAGUUUAUGAGUAUCUGUACUCACCUGCUAGAACCUCCAAACAAGCUCUCAAGAAAGACCUGUACUCAGAUAACUUAGAUGUGAAGUAAGAAAGAGUUAGGACAAACUGAAACUUACAUCUUU
rnacentral:snRNA from 1 species